UGUUUCUCCACGAGGGGGGGUUAAAGGCCCCCAAAACAUGCACACAUGAAAAGGGCAAAAAGUAACCGUCCUUGACAGGGAGUCUUAACUAGAGAAGGAAACGGGACUAAACUGGCGGGCUCCGUGGAAGCGUGGCCGGCAGCGUCCCGGACGAGGAGAUGUCUUUGGUGGACUUGGGAAAGAGGUUGCUAGAAGCAGCAAGAAAAGGCCAAGAUGAUGAAGUGAGAACGUUGAUGGCAAAUGGCGCCCCAUUCACCACAGACUGGUUUUCCAAAUUGAGAGUCUCCUGUGGAUAUAUAGGUGAUAAUUGUAAGAAUGGUGCAGAUGUGAAUGCCAAGGACAUGCUGAAGAUGACAGCUUUGCAUUGGGCCACAGAGCGUCACCAUCGAGAUGUUGUAGAGUUACUUAUCAAAUAUGGAGCUGAUGUCCAUGCUUUCAGCAAAUUUGAUAAAUCAGCCUUUGACAUAGCUCUGGAGAAAAACAAUGCUGAGAUUUUGGUCAUCCUCCAGGAAGCAAUGCAGAAUCAGGUGAAUGUUAAUCCAGAGAGAGCCAACCCUGUGACUGACCCUGUGAGUAUGGCUGCUCCAUUCAUCUUCACGUCAGGUGAGGUUGUUAACCUCGCAAGCCUUAUUUCUUCAACCAACACCAAAACAACCUCAGGUGACCCCCAUGCCUCAACAGUACAGUUUUCAAAUUCUACCACCUCAGUGCUGGCUACCCUUGCAGCUCUUGCUGAGGCAUCAGUCCCCCUCUCCAACUCACACAGAGCCACAGCCAAUUCAGAGGAAAUUAUAGAAGGAAAUUCCGUUGACUCAUCAAUCCAGCAAGUAAUGGGGAAUGGAGGCCAGAGGGUCAUCACCAUAGUGACUGAUGGAGUCCCUCUGGGUAAUAUCCAAACUUCAAUCCCUACUGGAG
rnacentral:sRNA from 1 species